GACGAACGCUGGCGGCGUGCUUAACACAUGCAAGUCGAACGGAAAGGCCCUGCUUUUGUGGGGUGCUCGAGUGGCGAACGGGUGAGUAACACGUGAGUAACCUGCCCUUGACUUUGGGAUAACUUCAGGAAACUGGGGCUAAUACCGGAUAGGAGCUCCUGCUGCAUGGAGGGGGUUGGAAAGUUUCGGCGGUUGGGGAUGGACUCGCGGCUUAUCAGCUUGUUGGUGGGGUAGUGGCUUACCAAGGCUUUGACGGGUAGCCGGCCUGGGAGGGUGACCGGCCACAUUGGGACUGAGAUACGGCCCAGACUCCUACGGGGGGCAGAGGUGGGGAAUAUUGCACAAUGGGCGGAAGCCUGAUGCAGCAGCGCCGCGUGCGGGAUGACGGCCUUCGGGUUGUAAACCGCUUUCGCCUGUGACGAAGCGUGAGUGACGGUAAUGGGUAAAGAAGCACCGGCUAACUACGUG
rnacentral:rRNA from 1 species